GGCUCGGUAGCUUAGUUGGUAAAGCGCUCGUCUAGCAUACAAGAGUCCUCAGUUCAAAUCCCAGCCGAGCAC
rfam:Aedes aegypti strain Liverpool supercont1.530 genomic scaffold, whole genome shotgun sequence.